GUCUAGGGCCACACCACCCUGAACGCGCCCGAUCUUGUCUGGUCAUGGAAGCUAACCAGGGUCGGGUCGGGCCUUGUUAGUACUUGGAUGGGAGACCGCCUGAGAAUACCGGGUGCUGUAGGCG
rnacentral:rRNA from 1 species